rnacentral:sRNA from 1 species
UAUUGAUUCCGGCUCGAGCCUAGAGAGGACGUGUUCUCUGGACUCAGGGACCCCAGAGUCAGAAGGCGUGAGAACCCUGACCCCUAACCCACUGCAUCCAGCCAAUAGGAACCCAGCCACCAUGGCGGAGCUGCAGGAGGUGCAGAUCACAGAGGAGAAGCCACUGUUGCCAGGACAGACGCCUGAGGCGGCCAAGGUUAUUAGAGACCGUUUGACUCCCAUGCCCAAAUUCCAGACCUCAAAGCAUCCCCCUUGCCUUCUAACUUCCCAAGCCUACUGAUCUUAUUCUAACUCUCUCCCCAUACACUAUAAUUGGGAGUCAGGCCCUUGUCUUGUCACUACACUAACCUUCAUCCUUUCCAUGUCUCUCUUUGUCAAUCUCUUUCUGUCUUUGGUCUCUGUUGGUCUGUCUUUACUUGCUUCUCUUUGUCUGUCUGUCUCUCCAUCUGGGAUGCCACAUGGUCGUGUGUUUCUGUGUGAAUCCGUGUGUGUCUCUCCAGGAGGCUGAGUUAGCUGCCCGAAUCCU